UGUCAAAAAUGUACCUGUAACAUCUCAGA
rnacentral:piRNA from 1 species